ACUCACUUACCCCCAACCAAGCGAAGCCUUAUAGAAUAUAUAUUUAUUUGUGGAUUGGCGACUUAUUAUCCGUCCGACCAGCCAGAACCUUUAUUCCUAUAGUGGCUCUAUUCCAUACACAUACCUGUCCGGAUGAUGUGAUCGGAUUAGAAGAGAAUCAUAAUUUUGAGAAUUUGUUUUGUCGAAAGCUGCACUCGUGCACUUGAUGCUUUUCUUGUGGAGAUGAAGGUCUUUGGUCAAUUUAUAUUAAAUCUGAAUUUCUUAUCCAGAAUUGAAUCUAAACAGCAAGUGUACAUAAUUAGAAUCAAAUCUAAUCAAUCAACUAGAGUAGAGAGCCAGGAAGAACAGGUACAGAGUGGCGGACCAAGGACGGAGGAGGAGAGAAGAUAAUAAGGUUGAGAUCUGUAAGAACCCUGACAUUAUGAGUCUUACUUACUUUAUUGUCGUUCCUUACAAUUUUAUGAUAAACCUGACAUUAUGCUUAUUUGAGAAUAAUAUUUUGUGAUCUCUG